GAGAGACCAGACAUUUACACAAGUGUCCUACUUGGCCUUCAAAUUAGCUGGGAAAGAGUGUCCAGUGCCAAAUCUCUUUAACUCUCCCAUCCCUACAUCGCUUCCAGAGCCUCUAACUGCGAGUGAGGUCGCUGCUAGAAGGAGCAUGACGAAAGCCAGGAUAACAGAAUCCGUGGGCCCGACGGAAACAUCAAUAGCUCCCAGACAGAGGCCAAAGGCGGCAAACAGUAACGUCCUGCCGCUCGCCAACACUGUCACCCCUGUAAAGAUGACCGUGCCCUCAACACCCGUCAGCAACGGCCAGAAAGGUUUGUAC